rnacentral:SRP_RNA from 1 species
UGUGGAGGGUCACAUGGACGUAAUUCUUGCUAAUCCGGUCAGGUCCGAAAGGAAGCAGCCGUAACAACGAUAGCGGGUUGUGGGGCCCUUCGUUUAU